rnacentral:lncRNA from 1 species
UGUCCUCUUUGUCGACAUUUUCCGGGCAAUUUCUGGAAUAAGUGGUCAUAGAGAAAUACGGCAUUGAAUAGUGCAGCAGUGACCAUUCGCCUGAAGACAUCGUAAGGAUGCGAGCGUAUGCAUUUGUCCUGCCGAAUAUGCACGGAAAGGCAAUGAGACCUUGGUUCCUUGCCGCUGCCAUCCUUGUACCCUUUAUAUGCAACCCCUCUGAAGGAGGAGAGUAUGGAGAACAGCGCAUAGACUUUGAGCCACAUUAUUUCCCAUAUCAAAACAUCACAAAGGUAUUCGAAGAAAAUGUGACGUUGUGGCUGUACGGAACGAACUACAAGCACCAAGCUGAAGGCGGAACCCAAUGUAUCUACUUUCUACCUCAGAGCUUUCACGAUGGUGGACUAAAUUUCACCUACAACAAACUCGUGAACGGGACAUGGCAAGUAUUUUGGAAACUUUUAUCAAAUAAAAACGAAGUCACCAAAAGUAUUUAAGGCUGGAUGCGGAAUUUAGUCGUAUGCAGCAGGAUAGGACCACAUUUCAAGUAAAUUAUGACAAACUUUGAGCGGCGAUUCUUGGCGGUGGUGUUGACAUCAUACCCCACUGGCGUCUGGUGUUUCGAAGUAAUAGAAUAUUAUUGGUUGUAGCAUGAAAAUAAACAUCAAAUGCAUAAAUGUUACGCGCUGGUGUCGUCGCGAGUUCGCAGUGGUAAGCAAGCAAUGAAAUAACAUACUGCCGUCAUAUUUUCGGAAUAAUAUCUAAUAUCAUAGUAGCACAAGUAGGUUCUUAGUAUGCGUCAAGUUUUGAAUGGUCCCUGAUAUACUGAACUUCGUCUUUUGUAACAGCCGGACAUUUAGUGUGAGCGUAUUGCGGACGCAGACGGAUCGAUGACAUGUAGCAGCCAGUUUUCUAGACCACCUGCCCUUGCCAGAGAUAAUGCGAGUGGUCAUGCGCAUGCUUAGAACAUCCGGUUGGAAUUGCUAGCAAAUAAUCCCACCUG